UUGAUAUUCCAGACGCAUGCC
rnacentral:siRNA from 1 species